AGUGAACGCUGGCGGUAGGCCUAACACAUGCAAGUCGAACGGCAGCACAGUAAGAGCUUGCUCUUACGGGUGGCGAGUGGCGGACGGGUGAGGAAUAUAUCGGAAUCUACUUUUUCGUGGGGGAUAACGUAGGGAAACUUACGCUAAUACCGCAUACGACCUACGGGUGAAAGCAGGGGAUCUUCGGACCUUGCGCGAUUGAAUGAGCCGAUGUCGGAUUAGCUAGUUGGCGGGGUAAAGGCCCACCAAGGCGACGAUCCGUAGCUGGUCUGAGAGGAUGAACAGCCACACUGGAACGGAGACACGGUCCAGACUCCUACGGGAGGCAGCAGUGGGGAAUAUUGGACAAUGGGCGCAAGCCUGAUCCAGCCAUACCGCGUGGGUGAAGAAGGCCUUCGGGUUGUAAAGCCCUUUUGUUGGGAAAGAAAAGCAGCAGGUUAAUACCCCGCUGCUCUGACGGUACCCAAAGAAUAAGCACCGGCUAACUUCGUG
rnacentral:rRNA from 1 species